AAGGGCAGGGCUGACACUCGUGAAAAGUAACUCCAGGUUUCAGUGACACUUUCAGGGUAAACAUGAGGCCGAUACUGUAAAUCCUAACACAGCAGGAAGAGCUCACACCAGCUGCAGAUGAGAAUCAAACAGCUGAUGAGUUCCAGGUGCAUGUCAGGAAACUGCACACGGACUCGUGAGCGCGUUUCCGUGUCUGAUAGCAACCAUUCAGUCUGAUUCGCUGCGGCUGAGGCGGCGCGUCAUGCGCAACGUGGACGCACAAGGUGGCCGAAGCUGAGUGUUGAUUUUCUUGGGGGGGGGGGAACCACAUGGCCUGUGAGGGUGCGAGCACACGGCUUUAUUCACUGAAGUUGCACCGGAGACACCUCUCCACCACUUGGCCUGCGCGCCCUGCGCCUCUCUCUAAUUGAGAGUGACAGCUUCAUGGAAAAUAGAUUACCGGCCGCUCAUAGCCACAGCGGUGAGGCAACAGUGUCUUAGUUAGCCUGCCAAGGGUGCAGCUCCAAUGAAUGGAAACGUUUAUUGGCUUGAUAGGAAGCCUGGUCGACGGUGCGCUGGAGGUUUACUAGAGGAUGCAGGAAACGCUCUUUACGCGUGGACCGCACGCUGACAUUUCAACACGUUUAACAAGUAAAGAGGAGAGAUCAUAAACUUACUUCUUGUCGGAACUCAUGGUGAGAAACCUCACAGAUGAUCAGCAGUCCUUCUGCUCGGUUCAGGUCCCUCUCGUAGUCUGCGUUUGGAAAUCUUCACCCACUCCGCUCGUCGAGCUUUGUUAACUGGAUAAACAAAACAAAAAAAAAGUAAAAGAAGUCGAGGAGCGAGCUGCGGCUAUCUGGCUGGAAUUGACUUCUCCGACUCUACAAAUCAAAUUGAACUCGUCACGCGAUAUCCUCACAUCGUGCUGGACUCUUCCAGAUCGCUCCUCGGUGACAUGGUGAGGAAAAGUCUCGUUGGCAGCGUGUGGAGAGCCUCUGUGAGCGCAGCGUGUCUUUUUCCAUAUUUAAAGUGCCAUCCCUCCUCCUGCGUGACGCCACAGGAGGGGGUGGAGGUCAGAAAGUUUGUCUUGGGUGGCGCAGCAAGUCCUUCAACUUGACAAGCGUGUAUCUAUUGUUCACUUUGCAUCUGAACGAGGGGAGUGAUGGUUUCACUGCGUCUAUUAAAUAUGAGGAAAAUAAAUAAAAAAUUUAAAUAUGAAAACA